rnacentral:rRNA from 1 species
UACGUAGGGACCAAGCGUUGUUCGGAUUUACUGGGCGUAAAGGGCGCGUAGGCGGCACAUCAAGUCAGCUGUGAAAUCUCCGAGCUUAACUCGGAACGGUCAGCUGAUACUGUUUUGCUAGAGUACAGAAGGGGCAAUCGGAAUUCUUGGUGUAGCGGUGAAAUGCGUAGAUAUCAAGAGGAACACCUGAGGUGAAGACGGGUUGCGGGGCUGAUACUGACGCUGAGGCGCGAAAGCUAGGGUAGCAAACGGG